UACGGGGGGAGCAAGCGUUGUUCGGAUUUACUGGGCGUAAAGGGCGCGUAGGCGGUCAGCACAAGUCAGUUGUGAAAUCUCCGGGCUUAACUCGGAAAGGUCAACUGAUACUGUGCGGCUAGAGUGCAGAAGGGGCAACUGGAAUUCUCGGUGUAGCGGUGAAAUGCGUAGAUAUCAAGUGGAACACCAGUGGCGAAGGCGAGUCCCUGGACAACUCCUGACACUGAGGCACGAAAGCUAGGGGAGCAAACAGG
rnacentral:rRNA from 1 species